rnacentral:rRNA from 1 species
UACGUAGGGUGCAAGCGUUAUCCGGAAUUAUUGGGCGUAAAGAGCUCGUAGGCGGUUUGUCGCGUCUGCUGUGAAAACUGGAGGCUCAACCUCCAGCCUGCAGUGGGUACGGGCAGACUAGAGUGCGGUAGGGGAGAUUGGAAUUCCUGGUGUAGCGGUGGAAUGCGCAGAUAUCAGGAGGAACACCGGUGGCGAAGGCGGGUCUCUGGGCCGUAACUGACGCUGAGGAGCGAAAGCAUGGGGAGCGAACAGG